rnacentral:rRNA from 1 species
CCACAUGCAGUCGAACGAAGGCUUCGGCCUUAGUGGCGCACGGGUGCGUAACGCGUGGGAAUCUGCCCCUUGGUUCGGAAUAACAGUUAGAAAUGACUGCUAAUACCGGAUGACGACGUAAGUCCAAAGAUUUAUCGCCGAGGGAUGAGCCCGCGUAGGAUUAGCUAGUUGGUGUGGUAAAGGCGCACCAAGGCGACGAUCCUUAGCUGGUCUGAGAGGAUGAUCAGCCACACUGGGACUGAGACACGGCCCAGACUCCUACGGGAGGCAGCAGUGGGGAAUAUUGGACAAUGGGCGAAAGCCUGAUCCAGCAAUGCCGCGUGAGUGAUGAAGGCCUUAGGGUUGUAAAGCUCUUUUACCCGGGAUGAUAAUGACAGUACCGGGAGAAUAAGCUCCGGCUAACUCCGUGCCAGCAGCCGCGGUAAUACGGAGGGAGCUAGCGUUAUUCGGAAUUACUGGGCGUAAAGCGCACGUAGGCGGCUUUGUAAGUAAGAGGUGAAAGCCCAGAGCUCAACUCUGGAAUUGCCUUUUAGACUGCAUCGCUUGAAUCAUGGAGAGGUCAGUGGAAUUCCGAGUGUAGAGGUGAAAUUCGUAGAUAUUCGGAAGAACACCAGUGGCGAA